rnacentral:rRNA from 1 species
CGUGUAGGUGGUUUGGUAAGUAGGGCGUGAAAGCUCCUGGCUCAACUGGGAGAGGCCGUUCUAAACUGCCGAACUAGAGGAUGGUAGAGGGAGGUGGAAUUCCGGGUGUAGCGGUGGAAUGCGCAGAUAUCCGGAGGAACACCAGUGGCGAAAGCGGCCUCCUGGACCACUCCUGACACUCAGACGCGAAAGCUAGGGUAGCAAACG